rnacentral:rRNA from 1 species
UAGGGAAUCUUCCACAAUGGGUGCAAACCUGAUGGAGCAAUGCCGCGUGAGUGAAGAAGGUCUUCGGAUCGUAAAGCUCUGUUGUUAGAGAAGAACACGUGCUAGGUAACUACUAGCGCCUUGACGGUAUCUAACCAGAAAGUCACGGCUAACUACGUGCCAGCAGCCGCGGUAAUACGUAGGCGACAAGCGUUGUCCGGAUUUAUUGGGCGUAAAGGGAGCGCAGGCGGUCUGUUUAGUCUAAUGUGAAAGCCCACGGCUUAACCGUGGAACGGCAUUGGAAACUGACAGACUUGAAUGUAGAAGAGGAAAAUGGAAUUCCAAGUGUAGCGGUGGAAUGCGUAGAUAUUUGGAGGAACACCAGUGGCGAAGGCGAUUUUCUGGUCUAACAUUGACGCUGAGGCUCGAAAGCGUGGGGAGCGAACAGGAUUAGAUACCCUGGUAGUCCACGCCGUAAACGAUGAGUGCUAAGUGUUGGGGGCUUUCCGGCCCUCGGUGCUGGAGCUAACGUAUUAAGCACUCCGCCUGGGGAUUACGACCGCAAGGUUG